UAAUCAUAUAGAGUAUGAUUUUAUAAACUUCUUUUCUUUUGUUGUUUCUAGUGAUCUCAGUGAAAAUCAAAUUCAGGCAAUUCCAAGGAAGGCUUUCCGUGGGGCAGUUGACAUUAAAAACUUGCAACUGGAUUACAACCAGAUCAGCUGCAUUGAAGAUGGGGCAUUCAGAGCUCUGAGAGAUCUAGAAGUUCUGUGAGUAUUGCUUAUUUCUCUGACUCUUUGCCUGGUAGCAUUGUUUGAGAGUUUUGAUGUGAUGAC
rnacentral:lncRNA from 1 species